rnacentral:tRNA from 1 species
GGGGUUGUGGCUCAGUGGUAGAGCACUUGCCUAGCAUGCGUGAGGCACUGGUUCGAUCCCUGGCACCA